rnacentral:rRNA from 1 species
UGGGGAAUAUUGCACAAUGGGCGCAAGCCUGAUGCAGCAACGCCGCGUGAACGAUGAAGGUCUUCGGAUCGUAAAGUUCUGUUGCAGGGGAAGAUAAUGACGGUACCCUGUGAGGAAGCCCCGGCUAACUACGUGUCAGCAGCCGCGGUAAUACGUAGGGGGCUAGCGUUAUCCGGAUUUACUGGGCGUAAAGUGUGCGUAGGUGGUCCUUCAAGUCGGUGGUUAAAGGCUACGGCUCAACCGUAGUAAGCCGCCGAAACUGGAGGACUUGAGAGCAGGAGAGGAAAGUGGAAUUCCCAGUGUAGCGGUGAAAUGCGUAGAUAUUGGGAGGAACACCAGUAGCGAAGGCGGCUUUCUGGACUGAAACUGACACUGAGGCACGAAAGCGUGGGUAGCAAACAGG